ensembl:ncRNA F16A11.13 ncRNA
CACUAUUUCGUUUCGUGUGCAUCGUCGUCCUUGUCUUCGUCGUCAAACCGACGAUCGAGCAGGCAGCAUCAGCACAAUAUCGCCUUCCUUCGGUCGUAGUCGUCCAAGGGCGCUGCA